rnacentral:rRNA from 1 species
CCUACGGGUGGCAGCAGUGAGGAAUAUUGGUCAAUGGGCGCGAGCCUGAACCAGCCAAGUAGCGUGAAGGAUGACUGCCCUACGGGUUGUAAACUUCUUUUAUAAAGGAAUAAAGUGAGGCACGUGUGCCUUUUUGUAUGUACUUUAUGAAUAAGGAUCGGCUAACUCCGUGCCAGCAGCCGCGGUAAUACGGAGGAUCCGAGCGUUAUCCGGAUUUAUUGGGUUUAAAGGGUGCGUAGGCGGAGUGUCAAGUCAGCGGUAAAAUUUCGGGGCUCAACCCCGUCGUGCCGUUGAAACUGACGCCCUUGAGUGAGUGAGAAGUAAGCGGAAUGCGUGGUGUAGCGGUGAAAUGCAUAGAUAUCGCGCAGAACUCCGAUUGCGAAGGCAGCAUGCCGGCUCCACACUGACGCUGAGGCACGAAAGCGUGGGUAUCGAACAGGAUUAGAUACCCCUGUAGUC